rnacentral:lncRNA from 1 species
UGAAUUUGGGUAGCAGUUUGGUUUUGCGUUACAUAUUUGUUUUAACAUGUUUCAAUUCAUGAAACAAAGUUGUUAAAGUGGUUAAUUAUGAUAAUUAAACUUGUUUGAGUAUAUGUUGUAUGUUGAUGUAUAUAUUGUAUGUUCCUNUAUAUUGUAUGUCCAUUUAUUAGGCUACAACUUGAUUAAGUUAAGUAUUCAUUUACAGUCCUAUGGUACUACACACCAUCUCAAUGGAAUAAGAAANGUAAA